CGUCAACUUCCUCUGGGGGGUACUUAAAACAAAUUCUACAACAGUUGACGUGUUAUGCUGGUCCCGCUCAGUUUUCCACCACAAAACACCAUAAAAAGGAAGUACAUUGCUUAUUCAGAUUGCCUGCUGCAGUUGUUUGAGAGAUGUCCAGUUUGCUGCCGAACCUGCAACAUAGAGAAGACCAGCAAGGGGACCCUCAGCAUCACGCAGACAUGACUUCGCCGUGAGCAUUCCUAUACAUGGAACAGGGAGGACACUUGAAUUAGACCAGUGUCUUUGAUGAGGGGUCAGGAACUGAUCUAUGCUGCCAUGCCUAUCAAUGGGGCGCUGGCUGGCAAAGACCUCACCUCCAGCCCCACCUCUUGCCUGCUCACCAACGGUCGUCGAUGGGUUGCCCAGAAUUAGAUGCAUCUAUGGAACAAGCACCUGGAGACUUGCAAGAUGAUGUGAGUCCCGACUGACAGACGGGCUUGAUACUGAUGUCUCUAAAUGGAGAGAGAUCUUGCACUCGGCAUUAAAAUUGUACUUGACACAACUUUUA